GUAGGUAUAGCUCAGUGGUAGAGCACAUGCUUAGCAUAUGCAAGGUCCUGGAUUUAAUCCCCAGUAUCUCCA
rnacentral:tRNA from 1 species